GCAAGUCGAGCGGUAACAGGAAUUAGCUUGCUAAUUUGCUGACGAGCGGCGGACGGGUGAGUAAUGCUAGGGAAAUGCCCAGUCGAGGGGGAUAACAGUUGGAAACGACUGCUAAUACCGCAUACGCCCUACGGGGGAAAAGAGGGGAGGUUCGGGCCUUUUGCGCUUGGAUGUACCUAGGUGGGAUUAGCUAGUUGGUGAGGUAAUGGCUCACCAAGGCAACGAUGCCUAGCUGGUUUGAGAGGAUGAUC
rnacentral:rRNA from 1 species